UACGUAGGGUGCAAGCGUUAAUCGGAAUUACUGGGCGUAAAGCGUGCGCAGGCGGUUAUGUAAGACAGAUGUGAAAUCCCCGGCUCAACCUGGGAACUGCAUUUGUGACUGCAUAGCUAGAGUACGGUAGAGGGGAUGGAAUUCCGCGUGUAGCAGUGAAAUGCGUAGAUAUGCGGAGGAACACCGAUGGCGAAGGCAAUCCCCUGGACCUGUACUGACGCUCAUGCACGAAAGCGUGGGGAGCAAACAGG
rnacentral:rRNA from 1 species